rnacentral:tRNA from 7 species
GCUUCCGUAGCUCAGUUGGUUAGAGCUUCGUACUAAUAAUGCGGAGGCCGCAGGUUCAAGCCCUGCCGGGAGCA